CCUACGGGAGGCAGCAGUGGGGAAUAUUGCACAAUGGGGGAAACCCUGAUGCAGCCAUGCCGCGUGUGUGAAGAAGGCCUUCGGGUUGUAAAGCACUUUCAGUAGGGAGGAAGGUAGUGUAGUUAACACCUGCAUUAUUUGACGUUACCUACAGAAGAAGCACCGGCUAACUCCGUGCCAGCAGCCGCGGUAAUACGGAGGGUGCGAGCGUUAAUCGGAAUUACUGGGCGUAAAGCGCAUGCAGGCGGCCUGUUAAGUCAGAUGUGAAAGCCCGGGGCUUAACCUCGGAAUUGCAUUUGAAACUGGCAGGCUAGAGUCUUGUAGAGGGGGUAGAAUUUCAGGUGUAGCGGUGAAAUGCGUAGAGAUCUGAAGGAAUACCAGUGGCGAAGGCGGCCCCCUGGACAAAGACUGACGCUCAGAUGCGAAAGCGUGGGGAGCAAACAGGAUUAGAUACCCUGGUAG
rnacentral:rRNA from 1 species